UCUGGCAUCUUGUACCUGGAAUGUAAGCAGAUCAGAGUUUGCAUCAUGAAAAAGGGAUUGCAGCCAAGGCUUGGUUAAAAAUGCUAGAGAGAACUUUGGGUGAGAGAGACUUCUCUAAGAGGAUAACUUUAUGCAUGGGGAGGCCUAACAUUAUCUGAAACAGAAGCCCCCUUGGUAUCUUUUCCCUUCCCUCCCCCUGGUGGAGGUGGAAGUUUAGAAGACUCAGGACCGGUCUACACUACUGGAGAAAGUCAACCUAAGAUAUGCAAUUCCAUCUAUGAGACCAGAGUAGCUGGAGUCAACAUACCUUAAGUGGAAUUUCUGCAGUGGAAUUUCUGGAGGAGGUGUGUCCCCGCUGCACUGACAGUGCCCCUGUCAGCCCUGGUACUUCACCGCGUCACUAGGAGUAAGAUAACAUUUGUGGAGAACCAACAUACAAGACCAAGUAGAAGAAUCAAACCAAGUAGAAGAAUCUCACAGCAAUUCAUAGAGAUGAGUUCUCAGAUUGGUUCUCUUAUCAUUAAAUAAAAGCUUUCUCAUAGCAAUAAAAAAAUGCUAGGCACUACUAGCAUAAUAUAUUAGUCGUGCUCAGUUGUGGAAGCGCAGAAUUGGUGCGUCUACACUGCACCGUAGUUCAAAAUGAUACGCAAUUUGAGCCUACACAAAUUGCAUAUCUUAUUUUGACCUUAUUUCAGAAUAGCUUAUUUUGUCUACACAGAACCAAAUUUUGAAAUAAACUGCUAUUCCAAAACAUCUCUUAGUCCUCAUGGAAUGAGGUUCACAGAGACGUCAGAAUAAUGAGCACAAAAUAACAGGCUUUCUGUUAAGAUGUGGCAUAGCUAUUUCAGAUGUAGCCAAUGAAUGAUGUUUGCUUGAGUAGCCAAAAUCCAAACUGUAUAGAGUUAGUUCAUGGGAAAUAUUCACUGAUUUGAAUAGGGAGGGGUGAAACUGCAGUGCCCUGGAGAUGUUGAACUCUUGUAGCUUCCCAGUGUGCAGGGGAAUGAGGAAAGUUGGACCAUUCUCUUCCUUUGCCUAACCUAGCUAGGUCCAUUAGUUGUUGUUGUGUAAGGACUGUGUUUAUGAUUCCCCUUAGCCUUGGCAUGGGACGUGCGAGAGGAUGGGCUUCUUGUAUUUGCUUUCACUCCUGUGCACUGGCAUUAGGAUAUGGUUGCAGGAAUGUCUCAUACAAAUUGUUAUGUGAUCAGAUUAUAUUGUUAUACGGAUUGGCAACUCAUGAUAUUUUCUCUCUGCCUCUCUGUAAAUAAUCCAUGUAUAGGGUAUCAACAUCACUCGAGUAAUCCCAUCCUAAUAGCUCCGUAUCUGACUGAAAUCAACAGUACAAGCAUCCUACUCAUUUCAGUUCUGAUGUAGAUCAUGUUUUUAAGAAGUGUUUUGCAAAUACAUGUGUGGCAAUUGGUCAAACUAAGUAUCUUGAGCCAUCUGAUACAU